rnacentral:ncRNA from 2 species
UGUGAGCGUGGACACGAAGAUCCUAAGUCGGUAAAGUGGGCACAUAGACUUAGGGGAGUGAGUUGUGCAACCGGCCACCCGAUG